rnacentral:rRNA from 1 species
UACAGGGGGGGCAAGCGUUGUUCGGAAUUACUGGGCGUAAAGGGGUCUGUAGGUGGCCAACUAAGUCAGACGUGAAAUCCCUCAGCUUAACUCGGGGAACUGGCGUCUGAUACUGGAUGGCUUGAGUGUGGGAGAGGAAUGCGGAAUUCCUGGUGUAGCGGUGAAAUGCGCAGAUAUCAGGAGGAACACCGGUGGCGAAGGCGGGUCUCUGGGUAGUAACUGACGCUGAGGAACGAAAGCGUGGGUAGCGAACAGG